rnacentral:rRNA from 1 species
AGCAGUAGGGAAUCUUCCACAAUGGACGCAAGUCUGAUGGAGCAACGCCGCGUGAGUGAAGAAGGGUUUCGGCUCGUAAAGCUCUGUUGGUAGUGAAGAAAGAUAGAGGUAGUAACUGGCCUUUAUUUGACGGUAAUUACUUAGAAAGUCACGGCUAACUACGUGCCAGCAGCCGCGGUAAUACGUAGGUGGCAAGCGUUGUCCGGAUUUAUUGGGCGUAAAGCGAGUGCAGGCGGUUCAAUAAGUCUGAUGUGAAAGCCUUCGGCUCAACCGGAGAAUUGCAUCAGAAACUGUUGAACUUG